GUGUGCUCAGGUAAACAGUACACUACUGUGAAUGUUUAUCACAAAAUGUCAUAUGUAAUUAAUAACUCCAGGGUGAUUAGGACCAGAGGGGUCCUUUAUUAUCCUGAAUACUUACCCAAAUAAAUAAAUAUGCGGACAUUUAAAUAUUUUAGGCUUAGCAGAACCUGAACAGUAAUUGUUUUUAUGUACAUACUUUUUCCAUCUAGAGUUUAAAGAGAUCAGGUUAACUGAGGGCUGUAAAGGGAAUGUGGAGGUUUUCUACAAUGGAUCCUGGGGUAAUGUGUGUUAUAAUAAGAUGGACAGAGACACAGCGAGUCUGAUCUGUCAGGAAUUGAACUGUGGAAAAUCUGGCAGUGAACCCAAUUAUUCAAAAGGACUGAAGUUUAAAAAUUGGCUUGAUUAUUUUAAAUGUCGACGUCAUGAUUCCACUCUAUGGCAGUGUCCAUCUUCACCCUGGGGACUGAAUGACUGAUAAUGAAGUGGCCAAGAUCACAUGCUCAGAGAAGGAGAAUCGUGAAUCUCCUCAGAGUCAUCUGACAUAUUUUACCUCACCAUCUCCUCAUCAGAGACAGUGUUCAAAUCAUGUUCCUCUCAGACUGAGUGGAGGGGAGGGCCGGUGCUCUGGGAGGCUGGAGGUGUAUCAUAACGCUGUGUUGGGCUCAGUCUGUGAUGAUCUGUGGGACAUCAGUGAUGCUCAGGUGGUCUGCAGACAGCUGGGUUGUGGAGCAGCACUGAGGGCUGAUGGGAAUUCAGUCUUUGGUGCUGGUGAAGGUGUUGUGUGGCUGAACAGAGUCGAGUGCAGAGAUUCACCUGUGGGACUGUCCUCUCUCCCUGAAGAAACACACUGACUGCUCCAACAAAGAGCACUCUGGACUCACCUGUGCACCUGACGUUGAAGAGAGGGUGAAUGCAGGCACAUCAGGAUACUAUGAGGAAAUCAUCAUCGAUGGACCAAAACCCGAUCGUGAGACAGAUGACACACCAGAGGACUAUGAUUAUGUCAUUACCAGUGGACAGACCUAUGUGGACACACCAGAGAAU